rnacentral:ribozyme from 14 species
GUCUCUUUUUCCUCUUUAUCCUGUUUUUCUUUCUCUGUUUGUUUUUGUUUGUUGUUUGUUGUUUUUUGGUGAGUGUGUGUUUUUCUUCUCAAGCCAAGAUAGAUGG